rnacentral:tRNA from 1 species
AACUAAUUAGUUUAUAUUUAGAAUAAAUGUCUUCAAAACAUUUGGAGGUUACGCCAUUAGUUG